UACGUAGGGUGCGAGCGUUGUCCGGAAUUAUUGGGCGUAAAGAGCUCGUAGGCGGUGUGUCGCGUCGGCCGUGAAAACCUGGGGCUCAACUCUGGGCGUGCGGUCGAUACGGGCAGGCUAGAGUUCGGUAGGGGAGACUGGAAUUCCUGGUGUAGCGGUGAAAUGCGCAGAUAUCAGGAGGAACACCGGUGGCGAAGGCGGGUCUCUGGGCCGAUACUGACGCUGAGGAGCGAAAGCGUGGGGAGCGAACAGG
rnacentral:rRNA from 1 species